rnacentral:rRNA from 1 species
UACAGAGGGGGCAAGCGUUGUUCGGAAUUACUGGGCGUAAAGGGCGCGUAGGCGGCCUUCUAAGUCGAACGUGAAAUCCCCGGGCUCAACCCGGGAACUGCGUCCGAUACUGGAAGGCUUGAAUCCGGGAGAGGGAUGUGGAAUUCCAGGUGUAGCGGUGAAAUGCGUAGAUAUCUGGAGGAACACCGGUGGCGAAGGCAGCUCGCUGGGACGGUACUGACGCUGAGGCGCGAAAGCGUGGGGAGCAAACAGG